rnacentral:rRNA from 1 species
CAAGAGCGUAUAUUAAAGUUGUUGCAGUUAAAAAGCCCGUAGUUGGAUUUCUGGUACAAUGCGCCUGGCCCGCGACCGUUAGGUCUGUGAGUGCCGGUGCGCGUUUGCCAUCCUUCUAGAAAACGUUUCUACCCUUCACUGGGCCGGACUCGCGAUCUAGAUCUUUUACUUUGAAAAAAUUAGAGUGUUUAAAGCAGGCUUUUGCUGUGAAUACAUUAGCAUGGAAUAAUAAUCUAGGACUUCGGUUCUAUUUUGUUGGUUUCUAGUACUGAAGUAAUGAUUGAUAGGGAUAGUUGGGGGUGCUAGUAUUGGCCGGCCAGAGGUGAAAUUCUUGGAUUCGGUCAAGACUAACUUAUGCGAAAGCAUUCACCAAGGAUGUCUUCUUUAA